rnacentral:rRNA from 1 species
GAUGAACGCUGGCGGCGUGCCUAAUGCAUGCAAGUCGAGCGAACGGACGAGAAGCUUGCUUUUCUGAUGUUAGCGGCGGACGGGUGAGUAACACGUGGAUAACCUACCUAUAAGACUGGGAUAACUUCGGGAAACCGGAGCUAAUACCGGAUAAUAUUUUGAACCGCAUGGUUCAAAAGUGAAAGACGGUCUUGCUGUCACUUAUAGAUGGAUCCGCGCUGCAUUAGCUAGUUGGUAAGGUAACGGCUUACCAAGGCAACGAUGCAUAGCCGACCUGAGAGGGUGAUCGGCCACACUGGAACUGAGACACGGUCCAGACUCCUACGGGAGGCAGCAGUAGGGAAUCUUCCGCAAUGGGCGAAAGCCUGACGGAGCAACGCCGCGUGAGUGAUGAAGGUCUUCGGAUCUUGAAACUCUGUUAUUAGGGAAGAACAUAUGUGUAAGUAACUGUGCACAUCUUGACGGUACCUAAUCAGAAAGCCACGGCUAACUACGUG